rnacentral:rRNA from 1 species
UACGGAGGGUGCAAGCGUUAUCCGGAUUCACUGGGUUUAAAGGGUGCGUAGGAGGACUGGUAAGUCAGUGGUGAAAUCCCCGAGCUUAACUUGGGAACUGCCGUUGAUACUAUCAGUCUUGAAUACCGUGGAGGUGAGCGGAAUAUGUCAUGUAGCGGUGAAAUGCUUAGAUAUGACAUAGAACACCAAUUGCGAAGGCAGCUCGCUACACGAAUAUUGACUCUGAGGCACGAAAGCGUGGGGAUCAAACAGGG